rnacentral:lncRNA from 1 species
GGAACUUUGUAAGGAACAGAUCACGCCCACCAGGUUGCCUCUUCCUAACCUUCUGCUUCAGCAGAGGGACCACAGCGAGGAAGGAGAGACAUUCUUGAUGUAUAGCCCAGGCUGGCCUCAAACUUGCUGCGAUCUUCCUGCCUCAGCCUCCUGUGUCAGGAUUACAGGUGUGGCUCACAGUUGACUUUCAAAUCUUCUCUCCACGCUCCAUCCUCCCCCAGCUCCUGAAGACUGCUCUCCACAGGAUUCCAGAAAUUUACUCCCACUCUGCUACUUUCUAGCUGUGUGGCCUGGGAAAAUGGCAUGAUCUCUCUAAGCCUCAGUUUCCUCAUCUAGAAAAUGGGGCCUGUAUCUGCCCUGAGGUUAUAAGAACGUGUCUGGCCUGGGAUCAGCCACCAGGGACCACACACACAGUCACUUCCCUUGGAGGGUCUGCUCUAGGCUGUCACCAAAUUAGUGGGCCUCCCAGACUGCUGGGAUUACAGGCAUGUGCCACCAUGCCCAGCUUGCAGGGAUAUUGAUGGAGGCCGACAUGAGACAAUCAGCCAUUGCUUGAUAAACUUGUUUAUUUUAGCCCUUGCAUUCCCCUCCCUGGCUGCCAUCUCUCCCACACCCAACAGCAGAGGCAGGGCUACCCUGUCAUCUUCGAGUCAGGAAGGGAACGUUCCCGCCUCUACCCCCGGAGAUGAGGCCACAGUACCUUUAAUCUGUAAACCUGCACCAGACUGGGCUCAACGUGUCACUUCAAACCACUCCCGAGCUCGGCCUGCCCAGGCCCUCCCACACACCAGAGCCCUUGGACAAGAGCUGCACACCCACACCACGGGAGGAGAGGGACUGGGGAGCGUACCAGACCCAGCAGCUCUGCCAGGGAGAAAGCAGGGCCUGCUGGGGAGAAGAUCCAACUGGGGGCCUGGCCCUGCAGGGCUGCUGUGUCCUGUCCUGUCCCACUGGAACACGACAGGAACAAAAGCAGUGAAAACACACAGCUUUGUUGCCAG